rnacentral:rRNA from 1 species
GACGAACGCUGGCGGCGUGCUUAACACAUGCAAGUCGAACGGAAAGGCCCUGCUUUUGUGGGGUGCUCGAUUGGCGAACGGGUGCGUAACACGUGAGUAACCGGCCCUUGACUUUGGGAUAACUUCAGGAAACGGGGGCUAAUACCGGAUAGGAGCUCCUGCUGCAUGGUGGGGGUUGGAAAGUUUCGGCGGUUGGGGAUGGACUGGCGGCUUAUCAGCUUGUUGGUGGGGUAGUGGCUUACCAAGGCUGUGACGGGUAGCCGGCCUGAGAGGGUGACCGGCCACAUUGGGACUGAGAUACGGACCAGACUCCUACGGGAGGCAGAAGUGGGGAAUAUUGCACAAUGGGCGGAAGCCUGAUGCAGCAACGCUGCGUGCGUGAUGACGGCCUUCGGGUUGUAAACCGCUUUCGCCUGUGACGAAGCGUGAGUGACGGUAAUGGGUAAAGAAGCACCGGCUAACUACGUG